GGUGGUAACAUGUUUCGGCGUCCUUCCACACUGUCGCGGCUUAUGUUGUUUUGCUGUUUGGGUUUGCACUGUCUUUUUGAGCUGUAACACAGCAAAGGUUUGCAGUUUCGCUCCUGAAAUCAUCGAGACCACAAACCCACCGGGAAGAACGAACAACUCCAGACGCACCGCUUUAAGAGCUGUAAUACUCGUUAGGAAGGUGUGCAGCUUGACUCCUGAGUCAGCGAGACCAUGAACCCAUCAGAAGGAAAAAACUCCGAACAUCAGAAGGAACAAGUUUCAGACACGCCACCUUUAAGAACUGUGAUACUCACCGCGAGGGCCCGCGGCUUCAUUCUUGAAGUCCGUGAGACCAAGAACCUACCAAUUCCGAAUACGUUGGGUUCAAGUGGUUCUCCUGCCUCAGACUCCCGAAUACCUGGGACUACAGGCACCCACCACGCCCGGGUAAUUGUAUGACAAUGGAGAGGUGAUUACUGCGCUGAAAAUCAGUUUCCUGAAGUGAAAAAGGGAAUCAAGUUACGUCACAGAGCCUGGUGUGAGCGGCGCUCUGUCAACACCAGCUCUUCAUGGGUUGUGGUUUCCUCCAGUUCCUGGAUGUGUGGAGUUCAUCCUCCACUGACUGGCGCCCCGGUUGACAAUGAGGUCUGGCAUCCCUGGAGUUGAGUAACUAGUUCUGGCUGCUGGUCUCCAGGUGACAUGUGUCACGUUUGAGCUAAGGUAAAAACAUCAAAAUCUGAGCAACAUCCCUGAAGAUAUAGCUGAAAAAAGCUUUUCUACACCUUGUCCUUCUUAAAAGCAAUUCAUUUCCACAUAAGAAAGUAUUAUUAGACUUCACAAUAGUUUUGAAAUAUAAUAUUAAUUUGCAAGGUUAUUAUGGCCAAUAGCUCAAAAUAACUCUUGAAACUUACUAAUGACAUCAUCCUGUUUAUUAUUCCAUGGAGCUAGGUGGCAAAUGGUAGGCAUUUCAUUUUAGUGCUCUUGAUGAAUAAAUGAACAAACAAU
rnacentral:lncRNA from 1 species